AGACGGGUUCAUGGAUUUGUAUUGGAGACAUAAAUAGACAGCAUACACAGUUUCAUCGUGGUGGAAGUACCAUGUGCAUGUCUGACCCCCACACAUGGAAGGAAUACACAAACAUCAUCCGGGACAUCGAGACGUGUGGACCAAUAUUCGGAUAAGUCCCAAACCCGACACUUAAAACUGGAAACUCUUAUUUCUGUAUAAAAAGUUUAUCUUCUGUAUAAAUAGUUUAUCCCUCUAUGUGUAUAUGUCAUUAUUAUUAUCAAGAAAUGGAAGUUGUUUUCAUUCUGUGUUUAUGACAUCACAUUGAAAAAAAAAUUUAUUCAUGGAAUCUCAAAGUGGUAAACCAAAGGCUUGGAUUUGAAGACGUUGAUAAAUUAUAACUCAAAACCCUAUAUUUUUUCAGAGUACUUGAAAACAUCUGGCAUUACCUUACAUUG